rnacentral:lncRNA from 1 species
UCUGAGAUGUAACAAUUAGUUUUAGGAAGUGCCUACUUCUGUGAGCAAAUAAUCAAUUACCUGUCAUAGCAGCCACUCUUUCCUGAAACUGCCUUCCAACCAGGUGUGCAGUUUCUGAAAUUCUACCAAUGGCUUUACUUCCUCCAGGUGUCUUCUGGAGGAGUAAGGAACCGUGACCAGACAGACACAAAUACAUAUGGCCAUUAGUAAUAUCAUUACCAAGCUAACUACAGGAAUCCAGGGCAGUAUGCAGGCAUAAGAGGUCCAGGAAGAGCAGAACAGAAGACAGUUGUGUGGAGAGCAAGUGAAGAGAGGCACUGAAGACAAACUCUCCCAUCCUUCUGACUUUACCUGGUCCCAGUCCUGGGAGGUGGAACUGAUGGGAUUAAUAAGAAACCAGGCAUGAGAAGCCAUGCAGAUGUAAAUUUGGAAAUCAACAUAUUGAUAGUUGGAGUCACUGGAGUAGGAUGUCUGCCAGCUCCUCUCCAGCCACCCAUUCUCAUAGCGGGUGAGCCAGACCACAUCUGCUAAUCCAGGAGCACAGCUCAGGACUAGUCUAUGCGGAUGGAAUCUCUCUCCAGCCUUUUCUCUAUGUCAGUUUUAUCUACCUGGCAAGAAAAAACAAAAACAACCCCAAAACAACCCCUCCCCACAAACACAACACAAAACAAGGGACUCGAAAAGUUGGAGAAAACCUUUUAAUGUGUUUCUGUAAAAUCCUUUCUUAGGAGGUUUAGUACAGGUACUACCCAUCAGCAACUUAGCCGGCCAGGUGAGUUGGUGCAGAAGGGCUUCGGCUGAAUUUAUACCAGAGCCAUCGGGAGUGACUUGGCCACCUCUCCCAAUUACCACAAGGAAGUCUUAAAAUUGAAUUUCAGUUUCAGCAGAUACUUCAGAUUUACCUGAGCAAUAUCAUAGACAAUGUACUCAUUAUAUAGUAGACAAGUGUCAUUCACACCAGAUGAAAUCCCAGUCCCAAGAGGAACCUCUGCACCAUCCAGAGUAAUACUAGCUGAAGGGUCAGGGGUAGUUUUGCCCAAACCUUUGACACUGUGCUUGCCCUUGGGUAACUUGCUGAUAUGUGAAGCGUGCUUCAGUUCAUACAUUUUCCAAGGGCAACUUCUCCCAACAGGAUUAAGCCUGUUGGGCCUCCCUGAGAUGUAUGGCAGUAGUUGGCACUCUUGGAGGCCAUGUCAGCGAAAUAGAUCCCUUUACCAAACAUGUAGCCCGUCAUGGGCACUUCAGGCGGGGCUAUCCAAAGACC